rnacentral:lncRNA from 1 species
GGUUCCCAGGCUAGGGGUCUAAUCGGAGCUGUAGCUACCAGCCUACGCCAGAGCCACAGCAACGCAGGAUCCGAGCCAUGUCUGCGACCUACACCACUGCUCACGGCAACGCCAGAUCCUUAACCCACUGAGCAAGGGCAGGGAUCGAACCCACAACCUCAUGGUUCCCAGUCAAUUUUGUUAACCACUGAGCCACGAUGGGAACUGCCCAAAUUUCUUGUUAUGAGAAAACUAGUCAAGCUGGAUUAGAGCCUGACCCUGAGGACCUCAUUUUACCUCAGGCCUUAUAUCCAAAUACAGUCACAUUCUGAGGUUUGGGGGUCGGGGUGGGCGUAGGACUUCAAUAUGUGAAUUGAGGCUGGACAGAAGCCCUAAACAGAUCUGUAGUUGUUUUUUGCCCUUUUUUUCCCAUGGCCUGUACCUGUGACAUUAGGAAGUUCUCAGGCUAGGCGUCGAAUUGGAGCUGCAGCUGCCAGCCUCUGCCUCAGCCACAGCAAUGCUGGAUCAGAGCCGCAUCUGUGACCUCCGCUAAAACUUGCGGCCAUGGUGGAUCCUUAACCCUUUGAGCGAGGCCAGGGAUCAAACCUGCAUCCUUACAGACAGUAUGUUGGGUUCUUAACCCGCUUUGCCACAACGGGAAUUCCUGUAGUAGUUUUAUGAUCAGGAUCAAAACGUGUGUGAUCACUUGUUGAUGAAUUUGUGAUUUAGUCUUGAUUCUCCAAAUACCACUUCUCCUAAGGGCUGAGACUUACGUGGAAAUUACUCCAACACAAUUUUCAAGUCUUCCUCAUCAGGAGAGGCAAACAUUCGAGAGAGGUUAAUGCCUGUUGAACACUUAACAUGUGCCAAGCACUGUAGUGGGAUUUUUAAUUUACUCCUUACUAUCACACAGCAAAAUAGAUAUUUAUGCCCUUGUUUUUCAGAUGUGGAAAUUUAGAUUCAGAUAGGCUAAUGUGAUUUGCUCAAAGGCACAAAACUAGGAAGCACUACAGUUCGGAUUCAACUGUAAACCCAUCUGAUUGUAGAGCCACGCCUUUUCCACAUGCAUCCCUUUUCUGGAACUGAAAAACAAGUUUGUUUUUUUUUCUCUUUCCCAUUUCAAGCUGUUGCAUUAAAAUCAGAAAAAAAACCCUUGUGAGAAAGACUUUCUAGAAGUCAGUCAUCAUUUAUUCGCAUUUCCAUUUGUCAUAUACCCAUACUUGACUGCCCGCUCUUUUUAGCAUUGCUUCACUUUGCUGCUUCUGUUUUUAAAGCUUGCCAUGCAAAUCGCACAACUGAAGAAUUAGGAAAUGGUGACAGCAAAGUGGUUCAUUGUAAGUUGGGCAGGGGUGAUGGUACAGAGCCCCCUUUCAGCCAGGCUGGUGUAAUGAAGUAAUUCAGACUUGUCCUAUGGUCUCUGCAAUCAAGCUCCACUUCACAGCACACUGGCUUGCAGGACCAAAAGUUGUUGGUUUAUGUGCAUUGUUCCCUCUGCAGUUGUCUUCCCAAACUCUGAAAGUGCCCAGAGAUUAUACAAAAAGUCAGGUGCAGCCCAGUUCUCUGGACAUGUUCUAUGAUCAUGACAUAUUUUGUUACACUGUCUCUACCCAAUGAAUGGGUCAGUUCCUAAGGAUGAAUUCCUUGCAGAGGAAGAGGGUGUUGGCAGUUCAAGGGACAGCUGAUACAUUUCAAAGGAUUGGAGGGCCAGUUAAAAAUGACAAUGGCAGUGAUAAUACCAAUGCUUCCUACCAUUGACUUCAUCUCGAUUUGCACGGACCUUUUGUAUCUCAUUUUAUUUUCACAAAAAUAUAUUGAAGUGAUAAGUCAGAGGUGGUUAUAUCCCCUUUCCGGAUGUGGAAAUUGAGGUUCACAGAGGUUAAAUGGAGGCAGAACAAUUCCCAGGUCUUUGAUCACCCCAACUCUCUAACUAAAUUAGUCUUGAGAAGUGCAACACACUGAGUUCAUUCACUUCCAGCUGUGGAACAUUUUGUCCUUCUGAAACAAUGUCGAAGUAGACUUGGGGCCGUCAGUAAUUGCUUACUAGUUUCAGUUGCCCAGUGGAUGACAAUCAAGAUACGGGGUUCUUUUCUCCCUAGGCUCUGGGAAGCUGAACAUUUACUAAAUUCAGGCCAUAUUUCAGUCUUCCGUCCAGUGCUCUUGCUGCUCAUAAUUCAUAGCCAUCAUGUAUGGAACAUUAGUUACCUUUGCGUUGUACGGAAUCAUCAGAAGAACUCUGGAAGAAAGGAAGUAUGUCCACCUUACAAAUGGAGAAGCUGAGGCUUGGAGCUAUUAAGUAACGUUUCCAAGGUUGUGUGGUGAAGAAAGCGCAGCAUCAGUUUGAAAUCAUUGAAUCUGUGGCCAGACCAUUGCUUUUAAUCACUCUGCCUGUAACUUGAAGGAGUCCUUAACUAAGUAAAUAGAUUGACACAAAUCAAUAAUAACUUCAGAGACACGCCGUGGAAUGAAUGCUGGAAGGUUAAAUUGUUAACUUAUCUACAUCGUGUCAUUAGGAAUUGGUCUUCCGCAGUUGUAUGUGUAGCUGAUGAAAUACUGCAGGCUGCUCCGGGGGGGACCCCACAAUCACUAUUAGUGCACAGAGGAUGCUUUCUUUGUUUAUUCUUGAUAGAAAAUUAUUUCUGACUUGCUGUUUCUCUACCUCACCAGAUCUGUUUUCCACAUACCUACCACCUACCACAUUCAGUCAUUCCAUUGAAAAUACACUCACCAGUAGGAGUCUCAGUUCCUGGAUGCUUUUGUGAUGAAGGGUUAAUCACUUCUGCUGGCAAGUGGUGUCAUAAGGCGCUCGGGUAGGUAGAAUAGUCAGCCAGGAAUACUCCCCUCUGUUCCUGGAGCGGGGCAGAGGAGCAGUCCUUCCGCAAAUCGUCUUCAGGACGUCACAAGCUUUUACGACUUGGAACUGUGACCCGGAAGGCUCAGUGCUCGUCCCCCGGACUUCCCUUUGUGCAGCAGCGAAAAUCGCCCUUUUGGAUGUAAAGGUGUCGGGAAUGAAGGUCCACAGCUUCCACCACAGGACCUUUCACUUCGGGUCCAUCAUGCGGCUCUAUGUCUCUGAGUACAGUGGCUGCCUUUUCCUGAGCUGUUUCUCUGACUUCCUAAUGUGGGCUGCCUCUGCACACGUCAUACCUCAUCCGAACCCUCUCAGCACCAUCAGGAACAGAAUCCUUAGAGCACUGGUGACCAGUAGUUUAUGUGUGAGGUCAAACUGUGAAAAGGAAAACUGUAUAUGAUCAGAUGAAAGGAAAGACGAUCACGUGGUUUCAACAUUAAAAAGGCUCUUUUUAAUCGCAUGGUGGUCUUGGGGUGGUACGGAAAUGUUUCUUCUUAAAAUUUUAGCCUACUCCUUUCUGGAAUAGAAUAAUACUGGUGAGGAAAUUGCCACUGCUUUCCAGCCACGAGAAAAUGGAAUAUCUACGCAUAUCUGAGAAGCAGAUAUGCUUUUUAAUCUUUCAUCCCGAAAUUAGCUUGCCUGGCUCUAAGAUGCAGCCUAUGAUCUAUUAGCUACUCGGGAGCACUGUAGAGGAUUUUCAAGCUGGAAGGGCCUUUGCAGAUGAUCGAGUCUAGUGGUUCCCAAAGUUUUCAUCACCAAGGGCACCUUUAAUUAUUUGUCCCCCGCAUUCUAUGUUUUGAAAUAUCUGGCCUACUAAAAACAUUACAUUGAUCACAUCAUAAUUUUUUCCCAUUGCUUGUUGCUCAAGGCCGUUGAUAACAUCUGGUCAGCAUGAAAUAAUCAAUGUGACCACAAUAAGCUUAUACAAUUCCUUUCCAAAGUGGAGGCCUUCGAGGUCUGCUAGAUCUCAGGGGUCUUUAAAAUUCAUCUCCCUUAGGCUUAUGGAAAUGUUAGGGAUAGCUCAGAGAGCCCCAUCCUCUUGGAGAGCCUUUCAUCUCCUUCCAUGAGGACAGGUGAGGAGACUCAGAUUUAAUAGCCAAAGGGAUUGGCCCAAGAUUACAUACACCUAUUAAUCGCAAGGAGGACUAGAACUCAUGGCUAAUGAGUCUCCAUCUUCUUUUUCCACAUUCCCAGUAUUCAUGUGCUUUGCGUCUAAGAGCUUAAUCAAUACUGUCUUGUAUUUUUCGGUGACAAGAGCUCUUUAAUGAACAGAGAGGAAGAAGAAAGUGGCCAAUCAUAUGCAGGUGACUUUGAGGAUGGCAGUGUUGGGUACGGACUUUUUGGACAGCAGAAGGCACACAGAAGCUGGAAUGAGAUACAGUUUUAUGGAAAGGGCACAGGCUUAGGAGUCAAAGAUAACAUGGGUUCAGUGACUGGCUUUGCCACUUAGUGGCUGUGUGACCCUAGGUCAGCUCCUUAUUACCUUGAUUGUUUCUGGGGCCAGUAGGUGUUCCAUAGGGAUUUGCUAAAUCAGUUGACUAGGGACAAUGCUGCUUAUUACCUCAUGGGGCUGUGUGUGGAUUGAAUGAAAUGAUAUGAAUGGAGUUCACGUCAUAUGCCUAUCACAUAGCAGAUGGCAAAAAAUAAAAUUCCACCAUGGAUCCAUGAAAUAACCUAUAAAAUAAUACUAAGAAACAACUCUCAACUUUGCAUUUCUGCCCAGCCUCCUUUCCAUGACUAAUUUCGGGCAUCUCUGUAGAGAACAUCUCAGGUAGCAUUGCUCUUGACAAGGUUCAUUUAGGGAGCAAAGUAGUGUCCGUGUCAUCCUGUACACAUUGUCCCUGAGGGCUGAGAAGGCACAGAAUUGCUCUCAGCAGGGAAGUUCACUUGCCUCUUUUGCCUUCAUCUCCUUCGCAGUGAUGGUCUUUGCUAAAACGACUUGAAAUUGAAUAAGGAUACCUCAAGAGGGCUUGUUCCAGGUCCUUCUAGAUGGAGUCAUCAUGAAGUUCUUCCUUGUAGUCAACCAUACCAUCAUUUGACAGAUAGGAUAAAGCUUCAGCAAUGCAUACUUUAUGCGAUUUUCACGAGAAUUCAUAUUUAGGGCCCUUGGCAAGCUCAUACUCUCUUUGUGAAAUGUUGCAGCAGAGCCUGCAUUGCAGGGCUUUGCCCGCCAUAUUUGGCCCACCGUGUAGGGUGCCAUGUUGACCAGAAUGAGUUGUGCACAGCCUAUAAGACUAGAUGACCAGUCUCUACUGCACAUCCCACAUUGGAGGACGCUGAAGUCCUCUGUAGACCUUCUUCACUGGCCAUGAGCUGUGAGAGUAAGCCAAGAACAUUCUCAUGCCCAGCCCCAGAGCCCACUUCAAUGUCCAAGAGAGGAAGAGGUGUCUAGUCUUUGAUCAGCAGUUGCCUCUCCUGCCCUCUGUGGCACAAACCCCCCCCCCCCAAUGCCCAAACCAAAAACAUAAUAUGAUUAGUAUGGAGGGUUUAGAGUCAAUAGGAGGAGCAGGUGAGAUUCCCCCCCGCCUUGGAAUUUGAGGUAGAGUUUAUAUAAAUUUCAUGAACAAAGUGGAAUCUUGGCUGGUAUAACAUUAGCCGAAACUCUUUGUUGGGCUCAAAUAAAAAUGUUCCGUCUUGUACAUGGCCUAGAGCCAUCUCGAAGAUGAAAAGUUGUAUGUUGAAAGGCCAAACAAACAAACAAAAUACUUGAAGAGCAUUGUGUACAAGGAGCCAGUAUCAUGAGAAUUUCUCCAGUUUUGAUUUUCUUGCGCUAUCGCGGGUUAUUUUUUUCCUCCUUCUGAACUAAGGAGAUGGAAAAUACCUUUGAGUCGUUAUGAAUGGAUUCUUAAUUAACUGUCCAGAGAUUUGUUUUGUGAGGUAAAAUUCUGAGACGGUUCUUGCCGUGGACAGGAAGAAUUAGCUCUGGAGCGAGCAGAAAAAGGGUUUAUUUCUUCUUACUGGCUUCCCUGAGGAAGCCAGGGGAGGCAAGGAUGAGCCCACAGCUGAGGCUCAUUCAUGGCUGAACUUGGGUCAAGGCUUCUAGGCCCCCUUCCCAGUGUCGCUUUCUUUGCCAAAUUGGUGUGUGUGCGCACCUUGGCUCUUUGGGGGGCAUGCUUCCCAGUGGAGGUGGCACUCUGCUUCUUGGCUUAGGCGGUUUGCUCCAGAGGAGAGAGGGUGCAUGCCUAGGAGCCUGGGCUCUGGCAUCUUGGCGCAGACAUUUUUUACAUCGUGGCUGGGGGUGAAUUUUAAUUCUACCGAAAAUUCCAAGGUGGGGGGCGGACUCUCACCUGUCCUCUGCUAUUGACGCUAAACCCUCCAUAAUAAUCUUAACAUGUUUUCUGUUUAGUGUUUAUUUGUGCCGUUGGGAACAGGAGAGGGAACUGCUAAUCAGAGACUAGGCUUGGGGUGAAUGGCUUAUCUUCUCAGCCUCCACUUGCAUGUCUAAGAAAUACAGAGAAUAGGAGCUCCCGCUGUGGCACAACAUCAGCGGUGUCUUGGGAGUGCUGGGAUGCAGGUUUGAUCCCCAGCCCAGCACAGUGGGUUAAGAAUCUGGUGUUGCCACAGCUGUGGCUUGGGUUGAGACUGAGGCUCAGGUCUGAUCCCUGGCCCAGGAGCCCCAUAUGCUGUGGGGUGGCCAAAAAUGAAAAAAAAAAAAAAAAAAAAAA